rnacentral:tRNA from 1 species
GCGAGAGUGGCGGAAUUGGUAGACGCACCAGAUUUAGGUUCUGGCGACUAAUCAUCGUGGGGGUUCGAGUCCCCCCUCUCGCACCA